AUGCAACGCGAAGAACUUACCUGGUCUUGACAUCCCGGAGACCCUUAGGAAACUAGGGGUGCUUCCAUCUGGAAGAAUCUGGAGACAGGUGCUGCAUGGCUGUCGUCAGCUCGUGUCGUGAGAUGUUGGGUUAAGUCCCGCAACGAGCGCAACCCUUGCCUUUAGUUGCCAGCAGUUCGGCUGGGCACUCUAAAGGGACUGCCGGUGUUAAACCGGAGGAAGGUGGGGAUGACGUCAAGUCCUCAUGGCCUUUAUGACCAGGGCUACACACGUACUACAAUGGCCGAUACAAAGGGCAGCGACACUGCGAGGUGAAGCCAAUCCCGUAAAAUCGGUCUCAGUCCGGAUUGGAGUCUGCAACUCGACUCCAUGAAGUUGGAAUCGCUAGUAAUCGUGGAUCAGCAUGCCACGGUGAAUACGUUCCCGGGCCUU
rnacentral:rRNA from 1 species